rnacentral:rRNA from 1 species
GACGAACGCUGGCGGCGUGCUUAACACAUGCAAGUCGAACGCUGAAGCUCAGCUUUUGUUGGGUGGAUGAGUGGCGAACGGGUGAGUAACACGUGAGUAACCUGCCUCCUUCUUUGGGAUAACGCCCGGAAACGGGUGCUAAUACUGGAUAUUCACUGGUCUUCGCAUGGGGGUUGGUGGAAAGGGUUUUUCUGGUGGGGGAUGGGCUCGCGGCCUAUCAGCUUGUUGGUGGGGUGAUGGCCUACCAAGGCUUUGACGGGUAGCCGGCCUGAGAGGGUGACCGGUCACAUUGGGACUGAGCUACGGCCCAGACUCCUACGGGAGGCAGCAGUGGGGAAUAUUGCACAAUGGGCGCAAGCCUGAUGCAGCGACGCGGCGUGAGGGAUGGAGGCCUUCGGGUUGUGAACCUCUUUCGCUCAUGGUCAAGCCGCAACAAUGGUUGUGGUGAGGGUAGUGGGUAAAGAAGCGCCGGCUAACUACGUG